rnacentral:misc_RNA from 1 species
UGCACAUUGGUCUUCCCUCGAUUGCUCUCGUACGCGGUGUACGCCCUGCACCAACGCACCUUAGCCUACGCGCCUCCUCACCAUCUCCAGCCCCGCGCCACAGCUCGCAGGAGGCGGCAAAGCACAAACAAAAUCGUAGGGGAGGAGGAGCACGAGCACCACACCAGGGGAGGGGGGAGGGAGGGGAGCAAGACAGGCUCGUAUUGCGGUGGCGGAGAGAGUCGUCCUCGCAAGUGCCGCCGUGAGUCGCUGCCGUCUGCUCAGUCUGUGCGCGUGAGUGCAAGUAGGCGUACAGCUCUGCGCGCGGCCGACGCUUAACUACUAACAAGGCCCCUUCUGCUUUUCCUUGCUUUUUUCUUGUGUGUGUUUCUCUUACUUCCGCCAACGUGGAUAGCAACACGCAUUUCUCUCGCAGGAGGUGUUGUUGCGGUUUGCGUCUCUCUCUCGCCAUUCCCCGCUUGCUUAUCUUGGCCAGUGUGUGAGCGGCAUCUCCGCCGACAUUCUUUUUUCUCUCCCUCCAUCUAGAAUGUGCGCCAGCCAUGUCGUCUCGCUCAUCACACUAUAGCGCAAAGUCGCUCUCCUCCUCAGCGGGGGAGUCGAUGGUAACGAGCCACAGUACUGGGUCCUCAAGCCGUCACCGUCGCACCGGCACUGCCUGCAUACAUGAGCCACGCGCUCCACCCAUAAAGAUGACGGCGAUGGAGCGCCUGCAACACAUCCGCAACUCCAUUACUCGGCUGAAGUACAUUUGUGAACGGCAGUAUCACACCGCCGCGCUCGAUCAGGCGUCCGAGGCGUCCGUCACGCCGUUCUUUGAGCGGCUCCGCAAGAAGCUGUCGAAGCUCGAGUUCAGCCGUAGCCACAUCGGCACCCCAGAGACCGGCGGCCCGCAGCAGCUGAAGUACAUGGCGAAAGAAUCGAGGCAGCUCAUGAGCACUGCGCAGGAGGUGGUGCGCGACACCGCGAACACUUCCGCGACGGCGACAUGUGUUUACGAGGGUAUGCAGCAUCAUCACAUGCAAGAGGCCAUGGCGGAGCUGGAGGAGCUGUCCGCGCUCCUGGCAGAGCGCCCCAACGAGCAGCUGAGUCGCGUGAACGCCGAUCUUCUGGCGGACCUCGUUGCUUUCCACAUCGACGAGUUCGACGCCUUUAUGUCGCUGCGUGUCGAAGCGUUUGCGAGGGAAAUGCAGAGCGAAGGCGCCUUCUACACCGGCCCCGUCAUGACGGAUGCGUCUCAGAAGGCUACGCCAGUCGGUGUGUGCUCGGCGGUGCUGCUAGACGUUGCGGUCGGCGUCCGGCCAGCGCGGUCGGCUCGCAUCGUGCUUGAGCAUGCACGGCAUCAGAUCAACAAAGUCGAGAACCGUCUGCACGCUGCGGACAUCGCGCUGCAGGAGUGCCAGCGGGCGGGCGAGGUUGCAGCAGAUGGCCAGCAAAGGCAGCAGGCGGAGGUGCAGCGUCGCGAGUUCACCAUCAUGAAGGAGCGGAUCAGCCACGCCCUGCGCCAGCUGGAUCGCGCUCAGCAAGCAUGGCUGGAAGAGGAGCAGAGCAUCUUCACUCGUGCCGCCUCCGGUAGCCACGAUCUGGCGGCGCUGAUGCAGACAAAGCACCUGCGCGAGGCAGAGGUGAUCGAGGAGGUGCAGCGGCUGCACGACCAGACGAUCCACGCUUGCCUGCCGUUCGCCACUCCGCAGUAUCACCGCCGCUACGGUGAGACGUACGGCCAGCCGUGCCACGUCCGCCUCGGCUUCCACUUCCUGCCCGAUGCGAACACGGCAGCCGAGAUGGCCGCCGCUGCUGGAUCGGCCAAUGCCGCGGCGCCGUCGUCGCUGAUGCUGCGCACCUUCUCCACGGAGUACUUUGCGUUGAUGCGCCAGCUGCGCGUCGCUCCUGCCGACUACGACACCUACGACUACCUUGUGCCGAGCAAGGAGCAGUUCUGGGUGAACUUUGCGAGCUUCCCGGAGAUGGUGAAAGGGGCCCGCUGCGCCCUUCGCAACGUCGACGCUCGCCUCGACCACUUCCGCGCGCUGGAGGAGCAGAAGGAGGUAGGCGGCUACUUCAUCAUGAACGGCGGCGAGCGCAUUCUGCGUGCUUUGCUCAUGCAGCGCUGCAACGUGCCGAUCAACAUCUACCGCGAGAAGUUCGUCACGCAGGGCCCGCACUUUUCCGCCAAGGCUGUCGUCAUUCGCUGCAAGCGGCCAAGCGGGCUGACGGCGCAGAACUACUUCUACUACACAACGCAGGGCGAGGUGAUCUUCUCAUUCGCGCGCAAGGUGGUGUGGCAUCUACCGGUGCCGCUGCUGCUGAGCGCAACGAGUACGCAGAGCGUGUCAGCGGUGGAGCUGCAGCGGCUGCUGACGAUCGGCAUGCCAGAUGGCAACCACGCAGCCCGUGUUGAGGCGCUCCUCCAACACCACCGCCGCAAGCCCUACGGUGAUCUGCGGCACUUUAUCGACUACAUCACGGUUCUUGGCCGCAUGUACCGCGAGUACCACCAGAACUCAUCUACGUUUCACUUUCUGCCGCUCUACGCGAAGGGCUCGACGUGCCAGCAUGACGCGUGGUACGGCAUGUUCAUGCUGCGACGCCACGUCUUGCCGCACUUGAACAGCUGUGAUGCGGCCACGCCGGAUCUGGCCCCUGACGCCACUGCGCAGCAGCUGCUAGCGUGGCUGUCACCCGCUCUUCUCGCUGAGCUGGACCGCAAGUUUGACGCGAUGAUCGCCAUCACGCGGCAGCUGUACCUCUUCAUCGACGGCGCUGUCGAGCACCAGGGCAACGACGUCCCGGCUUAUCAGGAGCUCUUCACCGUCUCGCAGGUGCUCAUGGGUGCCUUUGAGGUGUGCCUGAACCGGUACAUGCGCGGCUUUGUCUACCGCUUCGCACGUCACCUGCCCGCGGCGCUCUUUCGCCGCAUUCUCCACCUGCGCACUCUGCUGCCCCCCGUCGACGCCGAGGACGCCAUGCGGCAGGUGCGUCAGUUUGCGGAAUUUUGUGGCCGGCACGGCGGCAGCGACCCGCUGGAUCAGCUUGCCCGUCUGCUCGUGACGGGCAAUAUCAACCUCAACCGCGAGGAGGACUUUUACUGCCCGCAGACGUCUGGGUGGGUGGUCAUGGCCGAGCACCUGAACUUCUACCGCUUCUUUGAGCAGCUUCGCUGCGUGCACCGUGGCAAGACUAUCGCCGACAUGCGCUCGAGUGAGGUGCGCAAGUACCCGUGUGAAGCGUACGGCUUUAUCUGCAUGGUGCAAAGCCCCGACGGCGAGGACUGUGGGGUGCUGAAUCACCUGAGUUUGUCGACCAUCUCGUCCAACUCACCGGAUGCGGCCAUGACAGCGCAGCUGCGGGAGAUAGUGUGCAAGGCGGUGCCGGGCGUGCGCAGCCGCGCGACGCACAGCACGGUGGUUGAUCAGCUUUGUGAGACAGUGCCGGUGUGGAUGGAGGGCGAGCUGCUUGGCUACCUCAGCCCGGCGGACGCUGUGGAGGCCGCGGCAAGGCUGCGCCAGCGCAAGGCGCUCACGCUGCGCUCGCAGGUGCACGUGACCGGCAUCGUACGCCGAAAGGAUGCGUCACCUCUGCACACGCUGGAGGUGGUGUACGUGGCGCCGAAGAACAAGGAUCCGGCGGGCCUGUACGUCUUCUACGACUGCGGACGACUCAUGCGCCCAGUGCAGCGGCUCGAGUCGUCGGUGCGCAAGGAUGCAACCCAUCUCCCUUUCCCGCUCGUGUUCAUUGGCACCUGGGAGCAGAGCUGGCUGGAUAUCGCCGCCGUCCCGAGCGACCCCCUCGACGCCGUCGUGCAGCUGAACCGCAAGUAUGAGUACAUGGAGCAGAACGGCACCAACCUCAUCUCCCUCACCUCGGCGACCAUCCCCUUCUUCGAGCACAACUGCUCGCCGCGCAACCUGUUCCAGUGCGGCCUCAGCAAGCAGUCCUCUGGCACACAGCUGCAGGCGCUGGCGUGGCGCAAGGAGGCAAAGCUGUUCCGUACCUAUUGCCCGCAGCGCUACAUCAGCCGCACCCUCCCCAUGGACUACUACGGCCUCGACGACGUGAACCUCGGCGUCAAUGCCGUGAUUGCCAUUCUCGCCUACACCGGCUACGACAUGGACGACGCCGUCAUCAUCAACAGCACCGCUGCCCAGCGCGGUAUGCUGACGGCCGGUGUCACGGUCGCCAAGAUUGUGACUGCAUCCGGCAAGGGCUCUGACAAGGACGACGUCUUCGUGUUCCACAACCUUCUCUCCACGGGCGAGCGAUUCACCGCCGAGCUGGAGGCAAACGGGCUACCGCCGAAGCGCGCGAACGCGAGCCUGGACGCGUUCUCCUUCGAUCGCGAUCACAAGUACCCUGGACUGCGAGACAACAACGACGUGUACUGCUGCGCCAAGCGGGUGGAGCGGGUGGACCCGUUCACGAACAAGUCUGUCUAUGAGUACACGCGCCACCACGCCACCAAGUGGCGCCACUUCGACAAGGGCGAGGAUGCGUGGGUCCAGCAGGUGAUCCCGCUCGUCUACAGCGGGCCAGACCCGACAUCGGUGCUCAUGAUCUUCCGCAUCCCGCGCCCGCCGACCGUGGGCGACAAGUUCUCGUCCCGCCACGGCCAGAAGGGUACGCUGCCGCUACACAUUCGUUCUCACAACCUACCCUUCGCCACGGCCAGCGGCAUAACGCCGGACGUCAUCAUCAACCCCCACGCCUUCCCGUCGCGCAUGACGGUCGGCAUGGUGCUGGAGAUCAUGACCGCCAAGGUCGGUGCCAUCGAGGGUCGCUUCAUCGAUCACAGUGCGUGGUCGACCGUAGACGAGCAGCCGCGAGUGGCGGAGUUGAUUGGCGAAGCGCUGGUCAAGGCAGGGUACAACCGCUACGGCCGCGAGCACCUGAUCGAUGGCAUCAGCGGUGAAGAGAUGAAGGCGGACGUGUUCAUGGGUAUCUGCGGGUAUCAGCGUCUGCGUCACAUGGUUAGUGACAAGUGGCAGGCGCGGGCGCGUACGGACGCGCACACAUACCGGGCGGUAACCAAGACGGGGCAGCCGGUGAAGGGCCGCAAGCGCCACGGUGGCGUGCGGGUUGGGGAGAUGGAGCGGGACGGCUUGCUAUCGCACGGCAUUAGUGAAGUUGUUGUAGACCGUCUCCUGCACGUGUCAGACAAGACAAAGGCGUUCAUCUGCCCGAGGUGCGGUAGCUUGCUCUCCCUUUACGAGCGCCAUGCCACUGAGUACGGUACAUGGCGCACCUGUCGCUUCUGCGGCGCCGGCGCGGACGAAAGCACCGACUCGAUCGCUAUGGUGGAGAUUCCACAAGUGCUCCGGCUGUGGGCGGCGGAGCUGACGAGCAUUGGCGUCCGCGUCGCGCUCAAGACGUCGGAGCUGUCCGACUUUAUAUGAGAACGAGCCGCGUAAGUGGAGCGCACUGCUUCUCUCUCACUGCUUUGUUCGUGUGGGGUGUGGGUGUGCCGGCCUUUGAUGAGGGUCGGUGGGCGUCGCGCUCGUCGCUGUGUGUGUGCGCGUGUGUGGUUGUUCGUUUUCUUUUGGCGGGAGUGAUAGGGGUGUCUGUCUGCUUGUGCGUGUCUGAGCAGCUUCUCGCCCCCCCUUCUCCUCCCUUUCUCCUCUCUCCUAAAAGGCGCGCCAUAACAUUUCGAGCUAAUCGGCGCCGUUUUUUUUCUGUGAUCUUUUUUGACGUCGUCUCUACCCACGUAAUCGCGAGCGAACAAGAAAGGGCGAGCAUGCAACACGCUCACGCCUCCGAAAGGUGUGGCCCUCGGACGCGUGGGCGAAAGAAUCGGUGGUGCUGACGAAGCCGUGGAAAGGCGUGUCACACACCCAUCCGUACAACUCCUUGAAGAAGGGUGUUGGGUGGGGUAGGGAGAAAAUCUAGCGCCAUCUUUAUCUGUGUGCCGGCGCCGUACCCACGCACCUUCGCUGCCUUCUCCUCCUAUUGACUUCCGAGAGGUGCUCCUGCUGCGCGUGAGGGCUCCUUUUCCUUGCUUCUAUUCGCACACACACACGUGUGUCCCUGCUGUCGCUCUCAUUUCUCUGCUGAGAGCGAAGGGUGGGCCGGAGGUUCUUCUAUUGCUUACCCACCCCCGCCCGCUGCGCAUAGGCACCCCAACCACUGUGAAAGCUUCUCUCUCUGUCUGCGAUGCUCUUGUUUCCUCAGCCUUCUCAACGUGUGCUCUGCUGUCACCCCUCCCCGUCCCGCUUUCUCUUCAUCGUUGAUGCCGCUCUCCGUUGCGCAUCCCCCCCUCCCCCCUCACACACACACACACACACACGUGCGCGUGCAUGCACGGCGACUCUCCACUGUAUGCGUCCUUCAG